GGGUGCUUGAGGCUAUCUGCCUCGGGCAUGAACACCAACGGCAGAUAGAUAAAAGCCCCACCCGACUAUAAAUCGAAGUGAGGCCCCUAUAUGCUCGUCACAUAUAGAUUGCCUCUUACGGACCGAAAGGUCAAGGAGAAGCAGGCUAUG
rnacentral:antisense_RNA from 1 species